ensembl:lncRNA
AUGUGGUGCCUUUACUGGAUUCACACACGAGAACAUAAGCUGCUUUUAUCCAAAGUGGUGAACUUAUUACUGGCUAAACCACCCUGGAGCAACACUGGUUUGGGAAGAUCUAACCAGCAGCCUUCAACCAGCGUGCCACAUCAUCCCAAUCCCAAACAUAUAAUCCCAGUCAAAGCAAUCCAGCCAUUCAAGGUGCUCCAAUCUCAAGGAGAAAGUGCCUUCCUGUGGCCAGAUGCCUUUCCUUAUACGGAGACACUCAACACCACGAGCCAAUCAGCAGCUCCGGCUCAAGGGAACCACGUUGGGAAACGGCCCAAACUCUUGUGGCUUCUAGUUCAUGGUAUCUUGGAGCAGCAUGUACAGGCAGGAGAUCGCCGUCUGCGCAGUCGUCGGUGUGGGAGUGGUUGCCAUGGAAACAAGAGGAAGGAUGACAGAGAUGCCACACUGGGAAGCAACAUUCCACACUCCCGCCUAAAAACAGCAACUCCAACACUGGACAGACCGUCCCAAGGAACAAACAAUGAUUUACAUUUGUGA